rnacentral:ncRNA from 1 species
CCCGGCAGAUAGCGCGAUCACGCGCAUCCCCCGAAAGGGAAUCGGGUUAAGAUUUCCCGAGCCGGGAUGUGGCGGUUGACGGCGACGUUAGGAAGUCCGGAGUGGCCGGCGGGGGCCUCGGGAAGAGUUAUCUUUUCUGCUUAACGGCCUGCCAACCCUGGAAACGGUUCAGCCGGAGGUAGGGUCCAGUGGCCGGAAGAGCACCGCACGUCGCGCGGUGUCCGG